rnacentral:lncRNA from 1 species
AUUGGGCUUGAAAUUUAUAAUCUCUGUUUUAUGAAUAGGUAGUAUUAAUUGACGAAUGUUUCGUUUUGUUAACUGUUGAGUGACUCACAUUACCUGUUGUCUUUCAUGUAUGAAAAUUAAUAUCAAGCCAUAUUCUUACAUUAUACUUCUCCUUCCUUUGCUCAGCUCACUUAAAUGAGCUGACGGUUAGUGUUUUUAUCAAUUGGCAAUUGCUAGUCAUCCUGUUUAUUACCUCUCUGGUGUUCUUUCUCUAGCUUCGACACAUCGAUGCUUGUUUAGUUCCUGUUAUGUACUGUAUGUAGUAUAAAAGAAAGACCAACAUGGUUCUAAAAUCUGUCUAUUUGUUGCAGGUCCUGACAACAUGAAGCACCUCGAAGAGGAUCGCCGAGGAGAUGCACAAGCAGGUGGCUGCUGCAUGCGCCAUCCAGCCCAAGGAGGAGAACGACUUGGAGUUUGGAUGUAUUAUGUAAAUUUGGGAGAUGUAUUAUGUGAACCAGUGAGAUGUAUUAUGUGAAUCUGGAAGAUGUAUUGUGUUAUGUAAACCUGAGAGAUGUAUUAUGUGAUGUUAUAUGAUGGAUG